rnacentral:rRNA from 1 species
CAGUCGCCGCGGUAAUACGUAGGUGGCAAGCGUUGUCCGGAAUUAUUGGGCGUAAAGGGCUCGCAGGCGGUUUCUUAAGUCUGAUGUGAAAGCCCCCGGCUCAACCGGGGAGGGUCAUUGGAAACUGGGAAACUUGAGUGCAGAAGAGGAGAGUGGAAUUCCACGUGUAGCGGUAAAAUGCGCAGAGAUGUGGAGGAACACCAGUGGCGAAGGCGACUCUCUGGUCUGUAACUGACGCUGAGGAGCGAAAGCGUGGGGAGCGAACAGGAUUAGAUACCCCCGUAGUCCCUGUCUCUUAUAC